UACGGAGGGUGCAAGCGUUGUUCGGAAUUACUGGGCGUAAAGCGCGUGUAGGCGGUCGCGCAAGUUUGAUGUGAAAGCCCGGGGCUCACCCCCGGAAGUGCAUUGGAAACUGCGAGGCUAGAGUGCCGGAGAGGAGUGUGGAAUUCCUGGUGUAGAGGUGAAAUUCGUAGAUAUCAGGAAGAACACCGGUGGCGAAGGCGACACUCUGGAUCGGUACUGACGCUGAGGCGCGAAAGCGUGGGGAGCAAACAGG
rnacentral:rRNA from 1 species